rnacentral:rRNA from 1 species
AUGUACUCACUCCGGUCCUUUUUAGUCUGCAUACAAGUUCUAUCUGCAGUCAAAACAUGGCUUCUUCAUCUUGGCAUAACCGGAACUAGUCACUUCACGUACUCCAUAUUCUUCUUCAGAGGAGGAUGUUACUGUUGUGCAAAGACAAGAGGACAGCUAAAUGCUAGCAUCUCUAUUUGCUCGUAA